UACGAAGGGUGCAAGCGUUACUCGGAAUUACUGGGCAUAAAGCGUGCGUAGGUGGUUCGUUAAGUCUGUCGUGAAAGCCCCGGGCUCAACCUGGGAAUGGCGAUGGAUACUGGCGGGCUAGAGUGCGGUAGAGGAGAGUGGAAUUCCCGGUGUAGCAGUGAAAUGCGUAGAGAUCGGGAGGAACAUCAGUUGCGAAGGCGGCUCUCUGGACCAGCACUGACACUGAGGCACGAAAGCGUGGGGAGCAAACAGG
rnacentral:rRNA from 1 species